rnacentral:lncRNA from 1 species
CCCUUCAAACUCAUCUCUUUUAACAUCCUAUCCUCGGUGACCAUACCCUCAAGAACCCUAAGCCGUUGGCCCAUUCUCCACCAUGCCUAGCCGGUGGCGCCGCUUCCAAACCACCCUAAAUUCACAUCCUAGACUCCCUCAUUAUCCCCUCAUACUAAAUCCAUAACCCUUUUCCCUUGAAUCCCUCUAGAGUUCUUUGAAUCUUAAAUCAAAGCAUGAACGCUAAAUUCCCAACACUCGAAUCAGUGAGUUUUUAUUGAAGAUUUGAGGUCGAGUUAACCUUAUUCAUGUGUUUCGUUUGAAAACACACGAUUAAGGCUCAUUUCGGCCAAAAUUAAAGGCCUGAGGUUGAUUUCAAGAUUUGUCCUGGUUUUUCCUAGGUAUUUUCAUCUUUCUAUUUCAUUCCUUUAUCUUUCUAAUUUUUGUUGUUCAGUCUUAGGUUCCAAUCUUCAUUUUCUCGCCUCGUCUCUUAUGUUUGUCUCAAUUAUUCACAUUUUUUUCGUUUUUCUGCUUGCAUGCUUUAAUUUAAGUAAAUAGUUUAUUUUAAUUUCUUGGUUUUCUUUGGUUUUAUUUCAUCCCGUUCUGGUUUCCAAUAAAAAAAAGGUUUCGAGUUCCCCUUGUGAAACCCAUGCUGGGCUCAUUUAAAUUCAGGUCUCAUGACUUGAAUUUGAGUCAGAAGGCCCAAGAGGGGAUUCCACUUACGUUAAACAGACCCAUAUCAAAUUGAGUCAGAUCAAUUGACCCAUAUUCUAUCUGGUUUCAGGGGUAAUAACAUGGGUAUUGAAGGAUAAAUUAGGAAAUCUAGGGUAAGGGAAUCUCAGAAAAUGACUAGGGAAACUUCUAGGAAACUGGGAUUGGGGUUAUUUUGAAAGUCUGAUAUUUGUAAUAAGGGCGUUUAAGCAAAUAUGAAAGUUCAAAAGGAUUUGGGUGCAAAUUUUAACUUAUUUCUGCAGCCCUAAAACAUUGCCUAUAAAGGCACAUUUUCUUCAAGGUCAAGGCCGAAAAAAUAGAGAUUAAAAACAAAACAAAAGCUGAUUAUUUUGAGUAAAUUUGGAGAUAACACUAAAAAUUUCUGGAUUCUCUUUGUUAAAAUUUCUCAAAUCUUAUUAGGUUUCAGCUUCUUGGUCUUCUGUGUUGGCUUAAAACUUUCGAAAAGGUUUGUCUUUGCAUCUGGUUAGAAAAUAUUUUGAAUUUGGGAUUUGAAGAGUGAUUUGAGUUUCUGGUCUUAUUACUGUUCCAUUCCUGGGAAUUAAGCUGAUUGGGCUGUUGUUUGCUCGAUAAUUCCUUACUCUUUUGGUUCCUUUUCCAUUUCCAGGUACAUGAUCUUUGAAUUUUACCUUAUGUGAGACUUGACUUGAAGAAUGAAAUGAAAAAUGGAAGUUUGAAGCCUAGCACUAAGCUAUUUGUUUGUAGAUUAUUUCUUUUUUUCUCUGAAUCCCUUAGUUCUUGAAAUCAUUUCUUCUGCUUCUGCUACUCUUUCAACAUUUAAUGGUCAACCUUGUAUUUCAUUUGUUACUUAAGCUUCUUUUUUUUUUGAUAAUCAUGCACUGUAAAAGUUGAAGCUUGACCUCUGAAAGUUUAAUAUCAUGUUAGAUUUGGGUAGUAGAGCAAUCCAUGUAGUAGUCACAUGUUUGUUUUUAGUUUUCUUCUUCCGUUUUUAUUUGUUGGAGGAACAAAUCCAUGUGUUUGAAAAUUUGAGUAUGAUUUUGAGGUCCAAGUAAUUUUUAUGCUAGUUUUUUUUUGGAUUCUGAUAGUAUUGAGAAGAGCUUGUUUGAGUUUAAGUUUGUUAAGUAGCAGUUAGUGUAAAAUUUAUGUGCAAAGAAAAAGAAAAAAUGGUCAAUAUUGCUUUUAAGAGUAAAGGCAUGUUACUGAUGUAAUAUUAGUUGGGUAUGAGCAUGUUAAGUUAAAGUUGGUGUUUAAAUUUCGAAAUGCUUAGCUAAUUUGUUGGCCCAAGUUCAGGUGAAAUUUUGAAGAAUGACAAAUGAACCCAGUCAUGGACCAGGUCCUUUAUGUAAGGCACAGUAUUUAUCAACCAAGACAUGUGAGAUACACAUAAGGGAGAUAAGUUAUCACGCCCAACUAUGUCUUUUAACAGACAAAGUGUCGCUGAAAAUAUAAUCCGAUUUUAAGUCCGGAAUCGAAUUCUCAGGAACUAACCUAUCUGUUACACUCUUUGGCAAUAUUAUUAUAUACUCAACCAAUUUCUAGAUGGAAGAAUUUUUAUCAAUACAAAUUGGAUUUUUUGUUUAAAUACUUCAAAUACUAUUAAGACAAUAGUAAACUAAAGAAAAGAUAAUUUGAUGGUAAAAAGAUUUAGGGUAGUGAUUUCCCCAAAUGUUAGCUUCAGUCUUGGCAUUUCGCUAUAAUCUCGCCGAAUUACUCUAUAAGGACUAGGAGUUAUGGGUUAUCAUAAUUAGCUCUCGAUCAACUACAAUAAUAUACUUAAGCAUUCUCUCGAACUACUUUAGCUGACUAUAUGCACAACUCUAAAUUAUCCCACUAAAGUUUCUUUAUCUCUAAAUCCACUUUUAAGUUCAAGUAAUAAAUCUCUUCAAUUACCAAAAAAUGGUAUUAUUCAACAGCCGCCUAACCUAAUAUUCUUUCUCAAGCAAUAUUAGGUAAUUAGACAUGAUUAAUCAAUGGCCCAUUCAAUUAAUCACCAUAAAACACGUAGUUGGACAGUCAUACAAUAAAUUUGGCUCGAUUACAAGAAGUUGAGUCAAAACUUCAACCAACAAUUGGUUCCAUCAACCCUAUAUAAUUGUUUAGCUACUCAUAACAAAAUACGAGAAAACUACCAGAUUGUUCAUUAUAUAAAAUUGCAAGAAUUAAAAGGAGAUAGAGAAAAACUCUAAUGUUUUGAUCGUCUCCUCACACUUGUUCUUCCUUUAAAAGUAGUCAAAAAACAAGCUUGAUAACAUCUUGGGCGAGUUUCUAGAGCUUAUAAGGGUUAUAUAAAUGUUUUUUUUUAAAUUACACUUAGGUCCCCAAACUUCUAGAAGUGUGAACAGUGCACCGGGUCGCGGCAGACUGCGGUCGACCGCGGUGAAAGCUGCCCUUUAUGCCUCGCAUUUUUUAAUCUGCGACCGCGGUGGACUCCUUUCCCAUGCCAUUUCCUACUUCUUCGUGCUCGGGUACUUCUUGAGUGGGUGUAGUGAGCACGUGAUUUUUGCCCUACAUGAAAAUAACUCCUAAAAAUAGACCAAAAAUAAUUUUUUAUAUUGAUUUUAGGAAUUUUUAUUUAUUUAUUGUAUUUCAUGCAUUUUAAAAUUUUUAAAUCAUAGAAAAAUUCUAAAAAUUAUCAUUUUUACAUAUUUAUCUUUUAGUCUUUAAAAUUAGCAUUUUUCUUCAGGUUUAAGUUAAUUAGUUGUUUUAGUUGUUAAAAAUAAAUAAAGAAUUUUAAUAUCUACAAAAAUAACUUAGUGUAGGUUUUUAGUUAAUUAAAGAAAAGAAAGGAAAAAAUUAAGUAAAAGAAAAUAGAAAAAAUAUUUGGUCUUUGUUUAUUCAAGAUUGAGCCAAUCCUUAAAUUGAUCCCAAUUAAUUAAGGGAUUUUUACAUAUAUAUCCCAUAUAGCAAACAUUAUAACCAUUAUUGUGCAUUGUUUGUUUAUUACCCUCAUAUCCCAUGUUUUUGUUACAAAAU